rnacentral:rRNA from 1 species
UACGGAGGGUGCAAACGUUGCUCGGAAUCAUUGGGCGUAAAGCGCACGUAGGCGGCCUGUUAAGUCGGGUGUGAAAGCCCUGGGCUCAACCCAGGAAGUGCACUCGAAACUGGCGGGCUUGAAUAUGGAAGAGGGUCGCGGAAUUCCCGGUGUAGAGGUGAAAUUCGUAGAUAUCGGGAGGAACACCAGUGGCGAAGGCGGCGA